GACGAACGCUGGCGGCGUGCUUAACACAUGCAAGUCGAACGGAAAGGCCCUGCUUUUGUGGGGUGCUCGAGUGGCGAACGGGUGAGUAACACGUGAGUAACCUGCCCUUGACUUUGGGAUAACUUCAGGAAACUGGGGCUAAUACCGGAUAGGAGCUCCUGCUGCAUGGUGGGGGUUGGAAAGUUUCGGCGGUUGGGGAUGGACUCGCGGCUUAUCGGCUUGUUGGUGGGGUAGUGGCUUACCAAGGCUUUGACGGGUAGCCGGCCUGGGAGGGGGACCGGCCACAUUAGGACUGAGAUACGGCCCAGACGCCUACGGGAGGCAGCGGAGGAGAAUAGUGCACAAUAGGCGGAAGCCUGAUGCAGCAACGCCGCGUGCGGGAUGACGGCCUUCGGGUUGUAAACCGCUUUCGCCUGUGACGAGGCGUGAGUGACGGUAAUGGGUAAAGAAGCACCGGCUAACUACGUG
rnacentral:rRNA from 1 species